CCUACGGGUGGCAGCAGUGGGGAAUAUUGGACAAUGGGCGAAAGCCUGAUCCAGCAAUACCGAGUGGGUGAUGAAGGCCUUAGGGUUGUAAAGCCCUUUUCAGCAAGGAAGAUAAUGACGGUACCUGACCAAGAAAGCCCCGGCUAACUCCGUGCCAGCAGCCGCGGUAAGACGGAGGGGGCUAGCGUUGUUCGGAAUUACUGGGCGUAAAGAGUGCGUAGGCGGUUUUGUAAGUUGGAAGUGAAAGCCCGAGGCUUAACCUCGGAACUGCUUUCAAAACUGCUAAUCUAGAGUGUAGUAGGGGAUGAUGGAAUUCCUAGUGUAGAGGUGAAAUUCUUAGAUAUUAGGAGGAACACCAGAGGCGAAGGCGAUUUUCUGGGCCGCAACUGACACUGAGGCACGAAAGCGUGGGGAGCAAACAGGAUUAGAUACCCCGGUAGU
rnacentral:rRNA from 1 species